rnacentral:piRNA from 1 species
CGGGAGUUCAGAACUGCGAGGUGCU